CCUACGGGAGGCAGCAGUGAGGAAUAUUUGUCAAUGGCCGAGAGGCUGAACCAGCCAAGUCGCGUGAGGGAAGAAUGUCCUAUGGAUUGUAAACCUCUUUUGUCGGGGAGCAAAGUCACCCACGUGUGGGUGUUGGAGAGUACCUGACGAAAAAGCAUCGGCUAACUCCGUGCCAGCAGCGGCGGUAAUACGGGGGAUGCGAGCGUUAUCCGGAUUUAUUGGGUUUAAAGGGUGCGUAGGCGGGUUAUUAAGUCAGCGGUAAAAUCUUGGAGCUCAACUCCAUCCAGCCGUUGAAACUGAUGAUCUAGAGUGGGAGAGAGGUAUGCGGAAUGCGUGGUGUAGCGGUGAAAUGCGUAGAUAUAACGAAGAACACCGAUGGCGAAGGCAGCUUACCGGCGCCCGACUGACGCUGAAGCACGAAAGCGUGGGGAUCGAACAGGAUUAGAUACCCUGGUAGUC
rnacentral:rRNA from 1 species